AUGAGAGAACUCUAUACUUUCAGUCGAUGAGCUUCUUUUUCAAUUUCUCAAGAAUGAAAUUUCAAUCACGUGCCUUCAGAAGUGUAUGGUGAAGAGGGAUAUCUAAAUAGUUGGUCGCCAACUGAGCAGUCGAAUAUCCCAACAUCUUCGCAAAUGCUUCUAUUAUCUCCAUUAACAAGUCUAAAUCAAUAACACUAGUUUUGCUGAAAUUUAUUUUCAAUCCGAUAAGAAGCUCAAACGUGUAUAGGAUGAUUUGAGGGUGUU
rnacentral:lncRNA from 1 species